AUCGCUUCUCGGCCUUUUGGCUAAGAUCAAGUGUAGAACUUACCUUAUGCUAAAAAAAAGUGAGAGAGUCUUUGGAAAUUCCUGAGAAGUCAUAAAACUUUUGCUUUGGUGAGAAUCUAGGCUGAAAGCCCUCUGUGGUACUUAUCACAUUACCAAGGGCAAUUGAGGAGUUGCC
ensembl:snRNA U2 U2 spliceosomal RNA